rnacentral:lncRNA from 10 species
AUUAUGAAAGCGGCGAUGUCAUAAAUUGUCUGAAGAUGGCAAAGUCAAAUUAAAUUCCAUCGUCAAAAAAGGCUGCCAGCUGGUGUUUGAGUUGAAACCUUUUUGCCAAGAAGGAAGGCGCUAUAUUCCUUGUCCAGGAAGAUGCUAUGGCUCUGCUCUCACAAGUGGAUUAAUGCUGUUAUCAUGAGAGUGGGUUAGUUGCCACUAGAAUGAGUUUCUGAUAAAAGGGGGUCACAAUUGGCUUCAAUGUAUAGCCUCGCCAAGCAUUACAGCAGAGAAGCUUUUGUGCAAAGUGAGCGGAGCACCAGAAGAAAUCUUAAAAGUUUGAGAAGAAAAUAUGGUAAAUAACUAAGAGAAAUCUCUGGUCAAUACUCAACAAGUCCUUCAGUCCAACAAUAUUCCAUACAUGAAAUCCUGCCAAAAACCAGACUCAGCACCAAACACACGAGAUGAAACAUAAGAUGCAUAAACACAACCCUUGCCUUUGAAGAAAAUUUGCACUAAUGGCAGAGAUGGGUGCUGUAUGAGUGAGCUGUGGCUGCCAUAGCAAGACAUCAUAGAUUGGAUGGCUUAAACAACAGAAAUUUAUUUUUUCACAGUUCUGGAGGCCAGAAAUCCCCAAUAAAGGUACUGACUGAUUAGGUGAGGGCUUUAUUUCUGCUGACAGACAACCACCUUCUUGUUGAGUUUUUAUACGGUCUUUUCUCUGUGGCUCAUAGAGAGAGACAGAGAGAGCUCUGGUGUUUUUUCCUCUUCUUAUUAGGACACCAGUCCUGUAUCACUAAGGCUCCAUCCUGAUGAUUCCACUUAGCCAGUAACUAUGGGAAUUAGGGCUUCAACAUACAAAUUUAGAGAAAUGUGAUUCCGUUCAUAACAGGUGCUUAACUAGAAUUCUGUAUGCACAUUGUUUUAUGAAAAAGCGACAUGAAACCUAAGGAUUUACUGUCUGUUGUAGAAUUUCUCAUAUAAAGAAGAACCUGAGGCAAGUACAGAAAUGUUACCUCCCUACCUUCUCAUUGGAAAGCAGCUCACAGAGAAUACAAUAGUUCUACCCACUAUGCCCGUAUAAUGCAAUGAUAUAUAUCCGUCACUAAAAUCUCCAUGCUUGUCUCACCCAACGUCUCAAACUAUGCUAUAACUAUUGGCGGAUCUCACAUAAUUGAGCAAUCUGAAUGAUGGAAUUGUACACUAGUUGAAUACAGGAGAUACUAUUUUACAUAGCACAGCAAAGCUCUCCCAUAACUCUACAAAUAGGGCUGAAAAAAUCAAAUACGUAAAAUGCAGCGUCAUGUUAUUGCAUGGUUAAUAAAAUUACUGACUCUUCUCAGCUAUCUGAGUGUUUUAGGUUCCUGAGAGCCAAGUCAGUCAUGUCAUUUCCGAAUUUUGGUGAUCAAAGGGUGGAUGAUCACAGUUUUACUCCAUUUCAACUUGAUUAUUAGUUACAUUAAAAAAAGGUUUUUCUAUGUGUGCUGUGAGACUGAUUCUCAUUUAGUAUGGUUUCAUUAAAAAUUAGGAUCCCUUUUUCCCUCUUGGUUAAGCCAGUAAGAUUGUAGAUUGUCAGACUCUGCCUUGUUCUUUUCCUGAAAUCCAAAGGUAAAAUGCAGUAACGAGAGUAGGGAUGCCAAUAAUGUGGAGGCAAGGAAAAAGCAGCUCCAGGGACAACAUCGGGAAGCGCGAUAGGAUGUUGGCUAAAAAGCUUGCUUUUUCACGUUAUGUCAGAUUUCACAUUCUAACUUCAUCAUUUCCUGGUUAAAGCAUCUUGAACAAAUCACUUUUUGAAUCACUUAGCACCAUGGCUUCUACAUUUCAAGCCCCAAAGGGUAGGAAUUAUUAUUAUUAAUGCUAUUACCAAAGAUGCUAACAAAGGAAAGGGUUUUCACUGUCCAACAUGGUUCAUGUUUAUGAAAUAUUUAUAAAUGGUGCUCACAUUCAAGAGCAAGCCUGUAGAGAUCUUUGGGCAAAUGCCUUGUUAAAGAGAAUUAAUCUAAAUAUUGUUUGUCAUUUGCUCAAGUACACUAAUUCUAUUAGUCUCAACUAUUCAAGGAUAAUCAUUGAAGGCCUAACUCCACAGGAACUGGAUUGAAGAUAAGAUUGGAGGACCACAAUUUCACCAGUACGUUACUUAGAAUAAGCAACUAGGUCCUCACAACAAUCCCUAUUUUCCAGAUGAGAGUGUUGAGGCUCAGAGAGGUAAGCAAAUUGUUUAACUUAUUCCAGCUCUCAAG